rnacentral:lncRNA from 1 species
UAAUCAACAGAAAAACCUGGGUGUUUCCCGCAGGAAGGACGUUGAUUGGCUGCUGCCAGGUCUCCACUAGGGGUAAUAUAACUCCGGCUGGUGUUUGAGGUGUGCCAUACUCUGCACACUGCCCGGGCUCUCACUCGCUCAGCACACCGUGCCACUUCCGCCUCCGCUUGAAGGAGAGAAAACGAAGGAUGAACAAGAUGCUGGUUCCUGUUUUCACAGCCCUGCUGUACUUCGCAACGGCGGGCGCCCUCCUGUGCCACGUGUGUGUCAGACAGCAGCCGAACAAGACGUGUAUUGCAGGGAAAAGCAUGUGCAAGGCGGCUCCGGGGGAAUCCUGCUACCUCCAGACACUCCUCCUGGGGAACUUCCCUCUCUAUGCACAGCAGGGCUGCUUCAGAGAUUGCCAGGACCAAGUCGGAGGCACGUUCAUCCGUCACGACUUCCGCUGCUGCACCGAAGACUUCUGCAAUGCCUAGGGGCCAUGGACGCCGCCUCCCUUCCCACUCACUUGGGGGCAGCUGCACUUCUGGAGGAAGUCCACGUUCUCCCCUCCCCCGUCCCUCCUGGUUUCUCUCCUGGUUUCCC